rnacentral:rRNA from 1 species
UACGGAGGGUGCAAGCGUUGUCCGGAUUUAUUGGGUUUAAAGGGCUCGUAGGCGGCCUGUCGCGUCGGGAGUGAAAGCCCACUGCUUAACGGUGGGUCUGCUUCCGGUACGGGCGGGCUGGAGUAUGGCAGGGGAGACUGGAAUUCCUGGUGUAGCGGUGGAAUGCGCAGAUAUCAGGAGGAACACCGGUGGCGAAGGCGGGUCUCUGGGCCAUUACUGACGCUGAGGAGCGAAAGCGUGGGGAGCGAACAGG